AUCUAUGAAAAAUUGUAAUGUCAGUGCUUGUAUACACCUCUGUAACAGUUCACUUGAAAAUAAUCAUAAACCCCUAACAAACAAAUCCUGCCUGCUUGAUACUUGUAAUGUGAAACUGGGGCUAUCUUUACUGGCUUGCUGGAAUGUGUAUAAUCUCUUCUGAUUGGUUGGGAGCCAAAUUUGAACAUGUAAACAUAGAUCCAUGCAAGACCUGAAAUGUAGUUUCAAAGCAAUGUUGGGACUUUUUAAAGUUGAAGUUUUAACAAUAUCCUGAAAUACUUUGAUGGACAUUCAUAAACAAUUAACUAGAAUGUGGAAAUCAACAUUUUGUGUAUUAACAAGUCUCUAAAAGAGGAAUUCAGUGAGUUAUGAAGCGGCCCUUUUGGAAAUGCUUUGAACUGUUAAACAGCGAUUUUCAAAAAAGAUUGUGUAGCAACUUACCCCUGACAACGACCUCAGAAGUGCAGUCACAGAGUAAUGGUGCUGUUAUCACUUAAAAGCAACUAUCAAAAAAGAUUGUGUAGCAACUUUCCCCUGACAACGACCACUGGCUCAGUUAAGUGCAGUCACAGAGUGAUGGUACCUCACCAGGGUCUAGUUCAGGCAAAUGAAGAAAAAGGGAUUUUCAUCUCAAUAUAAUAACUGUAAUUUCUUAAAACAUAAACUUACUUUAUUUACUGUGCUUUUAUGUCAUAUAACAGUGAUACAAUAAUGUGUGUUGUAUUUAGGGAUUUAUUUCUUAACGGGAUGUGUAAGAGUAAAUUAUUUUAUUUUAUUG